rnacentral:rRNA from 1 species
GACGUAGGGUGCGAGCGUUGUCCGGAAUUAUUGGGCGUAAAGAGCUCGUAGGCGGCUUGUUGCGUCGGGCUGUGAAAACCCGCGGCUCAACCGUGGGCUUGCAGCCGAUACGGGCAGGCUAGAGUUCGGUAGGGGAGACUGGAAUUCCUGGUGUAGCGGUGAAAUGCGCAGAUAUCAGGAGGAACACCGGUGGCGAAGGCGGGUCUCUGGACAGUUCCUGACACUGAGCACGAAGGCCAGGGGAGCAAACGGGG